AGAGCAGACUCUGCUGUGGCUCCCUCUGCUCCUGGAGAAGAGGCCAAAGAGGAGCAAAAUGAGCAAAAGGAGCACGAGCCUCCAGCUGUGGUCACAGCCCAGCCUGACCAUCCCCAGACAGUCCUUCCAGAGAAAGAGCAGGAGCAGAUUGUUUUAUCAGGGAGGCCGUGCCAGACUGAGGGAGAGCUGUUCCCAGCCCAAGAGCAGGAAGAGCAGCUGGGGCAGCAGGUGGAAGAGCCACUGGAGAAUGGCCAGAACAUCAAGGCAGAGCCCCAAGCAGAGCUGCCCGAAGCUCAGAGGGCCAUCAUGGCAGUGAAGAGGAGGCACGAGGAAGACAGGAGAAGCAUCCAGGAGGAGAUGAAUCUCCAUUGGCAGCGAGGAAAUCAACAAAACCAGGUGAGUGAAAGAGUGGCAGACACUCCACUCAUGGAAAUUCCUCUCUCUGGUUCCUCACAGGCCU